rnacentral:rRNA from 1 species
GAGGACAUUAACGAGUUUUGAAACGAGUUGUAGCUGGCCUUCCGAGGCAUGUGCACGCUCUGCUCAUCCACUCUACCCCUGUGCACUUACUGUAGGUUGGCGUGGGCUCCUUAACGGGAGCAUUCUGCCGGCCUAUGUAUACUACAAACACUUUAAAGUAUCAGAAUGUAAACGCGUCUAACGCAUCUAUAAUACAACUUUUAGCAACGGAUCUCUUGGCUCUCGCAUCGAUGAAGAACGCAGCGAAAUGCGAUAAGUAAUGUGAAUUGCAGAAUUCAGUGAAUCAUCGAAUCUUUGAACGCACCUUGCGCUCCUUGGUAUUCCGAGGAGCAUGCCUGUUUGAGUGUCAUGGAAUUCUCAACUUAUAAAUCCUUGUGAUCUAUAAGCUUGGACUUGGAGGCUUGCUGGCCCUUGUUGGUCGGCUCCUCUUGAAUGCAUUAGCUCGAUUCCGUACGGAUCGGCUCUCAGUGUGAUAAUUGUCUACGCUGUGACCGUGAAGUGUUUUGGCGAGCUUCUAACCGUCCAUUAGGACAACUUUUUAACAUCUGACCUCAAAUCAGGUAGGACUACCCGCUGAACUUAAGCUAUCAAAAACGGGGAAAGAAAUA